UGGGUUGGCAGAGCAGAGACAAGCAACGCGCGCCUUCGACUUCACUUGUGGUUUUUCAACAAUAGGCUUAUCGAGGCCUUUUCCCAGUACUACGUAUAUCAUUACCGCAGCCCGGCUUCCCCCGUGAUACAUACUUUACGUAAGAGGUCGAGGAAAAUUAUACUUGCAUUUGUCGGAUUCUUCGUACGAGGUGGGAAUCAGUUUCAAGACCCCAAGACACGCGACCCAUUCAUUCAAGUCCGGUGAUAAUUUCCGCAGAUUGUACUCGCCGCACUGGGUCAAGAAUCAUCCUGGCUGUCCUAGAAAUAAUUACUCGUUAGGACGUGGCGAGUUUUCGAAACUCUCGAGAGAAAAACGAUAUUACGAUUUAGACAGAGAUUGUGUCGGCAACAUCGAAUUUCAUACAAGAAAAGCUUGGAAUCUGGAACAACGUUGAGAUAAAUUUCAACAGAAGAUUGUAAAUUGAAGAAUUGUAAGUGAUUGUGAAGAAAUACAAAAAAAAAAAAAAAACUCGUGCGCACAAGUAUAAAUAUCCUGUAAUAAGAAUAGCAAAUUAAAAUACGUAAUUUACACACAUUAUAAUUGGAUUAAAUAUAUUUUCAAUAUCUUUCAAUUUGUAGCUUAUUAAAAAUUAUUUUAUUGUAAGUUACGUUAAAGGAUUGCAGCAAUUAUACUAUAUUUGUGAUUUCAUUCUUUCACGAAAGACACAUGAAACACCGAUAAACACCUUAUUUUUUUCCCAACCAUUUCCUACGUCGAUUUUCUUUACAAGUUGUGUACAACAACAAUUUCAGCGAAUCACAUAUUGUAAUCAUUAUCCGCUGUGCGUAAGUACUAUAAAUAUAUAUAUGAAUUGAUGAAUAUUCCAGAAUUGACGGAGAAAUUUUCGAUGAUCGGUUAUCAGAAUUAUCAUUAUUGUUAUUAUUAUUAUUAUUACAACAAGAUCAUUAUGAUUAUUAUUAUUAUUAUAUAUAGAUAAAGAAAUAUAG